GGCCACCCCAGCCCACAAUCCUGUAAUUACCCAUCUAGUCUGUGCCUGUCAGCAUGCGCCUCUGCCCUGGGCCUCAUCUUGGUCACCAGGCCCAUGCUGGGCUCAGUGGCAGGGCCCCACCUACCCUUCAGCCACCGCCACCCCCAACUCUGCCUCAGUGUCUCUCUCAACUCCACCCUUUGACCCUUUCGAGGUUAAGAUAUCAUGUAAUAGCUGCUAAUCAGGUCAUGUAAUAGGAAACCAAAUGGUGACUAUAACUUCAUACAUUCCAGGCCCUGUGUUAAAUGUUUUUCUUGCAUCUUCUCCCAUAUGCCUCUCAAUAACCCUGAAUAAGAUUGUUAUUCCCACUUUACAAAAGAGGAGAUUGAAUUCAAAGAAGUUAAGAGGCAAAGUUUCUUUCCCAAAACUUGAGAGCUUAAAUUCAGGUCCUCUGAGACCUCACCUGCCCGCUGCCCCUUCUGCAUAGUGUCCCCAGCGUCCUUCACCCUGUCUCCACCCCACCCCCUUUCCUGUCGGAGGAGGGUGGAAGGAGCAGUAGGUGGUGCCUGUGGAGGGUGAAUGGGACAGUUCCAGGCUGGCUAGGAUGAUACUGGAAAACACCUUCAGGGCAGAGUUCUUUGUUCCAAAAGGCUCUGAAUUUCCGGACUUCUGCCAGACGCGGGAAGUUACUUCUGCCCAGCCUAUUUGGCAAGCGCACCGACUUCUUGGGUGCCAUGAUGUUAGGAAGUGGGGGAUGGGCUGCCUCGGGUAAAAUUCCAUUUGAGUGAACGCCAUCGAAGAGCUGAAUGGCUUUGUUGAAAUGGAAUUAUGCUAACCUGGGUGCAGUGGGAGAACUCUAGGAUGCAACUUGAGAAAUUGGAGGUGAAAUGAAGUAAUGCACUCUUGAUCAUCUCUGAGUAAGGCUCUGGGAGGGUUUGGAGCAUAGGAGAAGAAUCAGAUGCACCCCGGUUCCUUCGUGAAUGCCCUGCUCCCAGGUGGUUGGGCAAGGCUGGGAGGGGACAGGGUUGGGCUGUUCAAUUGUCCCCCCGACACCUGUGCUGUGAAUCCUUGAGAACAAGUCUGAGCCCCAUCUCUGAGGUGUCACCACCCACACAAUACCUAACUCAUCACAGACAUACUCAAUAGAUGUUUAUUGGGUGGAAAUACGUUUGUUGAUAGACCUGGUCCCCUAAGCUGGAAAGGAUUGUUGAAGGACAGUCUCUUUGGGGACAACACAUCCUUAAAAAGCUAGGCAGCAACUCAGAUGAAUCCUCGACGUUAUGGAACCGAUUGUGCAUAAUAACACACGCCAACACUCUCUGAGCCGCUGCUGUGCCUGUGCUGAGUACUUUACACAUGUUAUCUCGUUGAAUCCGCACCGACGAAUCAGGGAGGUAUUGUUAUUCUUCUCCUUUUACAGGUGAGGGAACAGGACCUCAGAGAGCUCAGGUCAGUGUUUCUGGUCAUACAGCUGGAGGGGAGGAAAGGCAGGGUUUGCAGCCAGGCAGGCUGCCUCCAGUUUUAUCUCUAACAAUCUCCCCACCGCAGAGCUCGGCUGCUGCAGGGGGCUGGUUCCGGGGACCAGGGCCAGGUGGCUAACAGUCAGUGCAAACCCUGGCAAGAUGGACUGGAGGCCACAAGCCUGCUCUGGAGGGGCAGCACCGCCUCAGGCCAGCAGGAUUGCCAUUGGAACUACAGUGCAGUGUGGCCAGAUUAUCCAGGUUUUUGCUUUGUUUUGUUUUUGCCUCCCUGAGCCAAGGAUCAGAUCCCAGCUGCAGCUGCCACAGCUUUGGCAGCUCUGGACCCUCAACCCUAUGGAUCCCUCACCUGUGUCAGGCUGGGAUCAAACCUGCGUCCCAGUGCUCCAGGAAUGCUGCUGAUCUCAUGGCACCACAUUGGGAACUCCUAUCCAGGUUUUUUUUUUUUUUUUUCUUUUUUAGGGCCAUGCCUGCAGCAUGUGGAAGUUCCCAGGCUAGGGGUCAAAUUGGAGCUACCGCUUCCAGCCUGCACCACGGCCACAGACACACCAAAUCCAUGCCGUGUCUGUGACCUACACCCCAGCUCACGGCGACACCAGAUCCUUAACCCAUUAAUUGAGGCCAGGGAUCAAACCCACGUCCUCAUGGAUACUAAUCAGAUUUGUUUCCACUGAGUCACAGUGGGAACUCCUCUCUCUAUGUUUUUUAAACACUGACAAUGAGUUUAAAAAUGUGUAAUCACUGGUAGCGAUGGGGGCAGAUGAGAGACAGAACUCAUCCACGGUCAGGUUUAGCCUGCAGGCCUUCCAUGUGUCCUCUGGAAGUUUCUUUCUUUUAACAGAUGACUGUCACAUAGAGGGGGAGCAGGACAGCCCUAGUUUAUAUAGAAGUCCUUACUAAAGGCACGAAUGAUCCCUCUCCUUGGGUACCCCUCCCCGUGCGUGCUGAUACUGUAUAAUGCGGGGUAUUUCUUUCUGGAGCAUUCUAAUGAGAGCUUUCUGUCUGACGAUAUUCCAUGAACGAAUCCUGCGCUUUCCUCCUUCUCUCCCUCCCUCUUUCUUUCUUCUCCUUCCUUCCUCUCCUCCUCUAUCUUCCCAGAUAUUUUCCGAGAGCUAUUAGAAGGAACAUUCUGUGUUGAGAAAAUCCAAAGGAAACUCAUGGUCAAAGCCAAGUUCUCUAGACUCGAAAGUGAAGUGGGAUUUGGGCCGGGGCUCUGGCGGCAGUGAAUGAUGCUUAUCCUGUGGGAUAGGAAACUCUCUCCGCCUGGUGGGCUGUCCCAACUGGGACCACCUUGUGCCGCCAGCUCCGUUUAAUGCUUCGGAAUAUCUUCUCACAGCCUUGCACUUGAUUCCCGAAUGCGGGCCUCCUCCCGCCUCUCAAACACCUGGGCGAGGAAUAGCAAACUACUAACGAACAUGGUUAUGGAGGAUAGUUUUUUUAUAACACUCUUGAAAUACGUCAUCUCAGCUGACACGGCCAUCUCGUGAGACAGGCAAAUGGGUAAAAGGCCCUUUUUGGAGGCCAGGUAAAGUAGCGUGUGUAAUUCUUUUCCUUCCAUCCCGUAAGAGAGCAGUAGCUGUGGAAGAGCGAAUCCCGGUGUGCAGGGAGCCCCUGCCCACCUCCCAAGCCCGAACCUGCUUCCCUGCUGCUCUCAUGCCUCACCUGGGGUGGGGAGGGGGGCAGGGGGGGCAGCCAAUAAGUCUGGAGCCCCUGGCUAAGGUCUCCGCCUCCCUGAGAGUCCUGCUCAGGGGAGUGGAGUGUGGGCGUGGGUGGCCCUCGACCAGCCUCCCCUCCGCGUCUUCCCCCGCUACCUGCCACCCCAAGCUAUUCUUCCUGAACUUGGGCAGAAAAUAGCUCACUCAAGAGAAUUAUUUUUGUGUCUGUUAAACUUCAAUCCUGGGCUACUGAGCAGCCUGGCGGCAGAAUUGUUUUUCAGGUCAGGGGGAGUUCUGGGAAAAGUGAAGGGUGGAGGAGCAAAGAGGAGACAGAGGGUGGAGGGGCGCCUCCUCUCCCUCUCGGGGCCGUGAUGGCCACAAGCGCCGGCCUUCUUCCCUAGAACGCUGCCCAUCGGGGCCGCCUAACGAGCAGCUACUCCAGCUGACCGUGUGGAGCCCGUGCAGGCAGCUGGACUGGGGGUUCCCUCACAGCUCCUUUCACUGAGUGCAGGCUCUGAGCUGGUGCAUUAAAUUCCUUCUCAAGGAGUACCUGGUGGUGCAGCCAGUAAAGGAUCUGGCACUGUCACCUCAGCGGCUUGGGUCACUGCUGUGGUGUGGGGUUCGAUCCCUGGCCUGGGGACUUCCACCUGUCCUGGGUCUGGCCAAAAAAUAUAUAUAUAUAUCUCAUUCUCCAGAGAUAUUUGCCUCUGCCUGAGGGAGUGUUGAGUGAAGGGAGUGGAAAUUGUGUCACCACAUGGGGAGGCCCUGGUGGGCAGCUUGAGGGAAGUGGGGGAACAGCGGACAGCUGACUGUCGAGGGGGAAAGAGACGCGCCCCCCCCCACUCUGGGCCCGGACAGCAUGAAUGCUGCUCUGUGCCCGCAUCUGUUCCAUCUUUGCCCCCGGGUACCAAAGAAAAGCAAGGAAGAGGAAGAUGGCCAAAGGAUAGGGUUGGGGAAGGGGGGUUAGAUUGGAGAGGGUUCAUGGGUUAGGACAAAGGCCACUAUUUCCUACCACUUUGUGGCCCCGGGGACGAAUCCUCCAGGGGUUUGGCUGGAAGCAUUGAAACUAGAGGGCUGACUUCAGUGGCAGCUCUAACGGGAAGGCUGAGCUCGUGUCACGUCAUGGGCAGGCAAUGAGCCUGGCCAUCGGGACUCAGCGUAUGGGCUGACAUGUGCCCACACAUGCAGGGGACUUCCCCUAUGUGUCCAUGAGGGGGACGUCCCCUGUGGGGCACGUUGCUUGUGACCAUCGUCAGGCGGGUGGGGGGCAGGUCCGGGGACCAGUCGGCUGUGUGGUAACUCAGCUCUCCCAGUGCCCGGCAACCGUAUCUGGCCAACCUGGACAGGCUGGGGCGUUAAAUAAGGAUUGACUGGUGAUGUGUGGCUGAGCUGUUCACCAUGUCCGUCUGCCCCCGUCGCUUUUCUCUCAUAAGACGUGUUUUCUCCUUCCGCUGGGCUGGGAUUUAGCAGAAUUCUCUCCUCUCCUCUCCCUUCCAGCCCAAUUUUCCUUCCUUCCCAGUGCUCCAGGUCCAUUCAGGAUGGAGUGGGAAGCCGAAUGGCAUCUGAACGUCUUCCGUUUCAAAAUACCGUUGCAAUCAUUUAAAAUGUCUGGUAUUUGAAGUUCCCAUCAUGGCUCUGCAGGUGAAGAACCUGCCUAGGAUCCAUGAGGAUGCAGGUUUGAUCCCUGGCCUCACUCAGGGGGUUAAGGAUCUGGCAUUGCUGUGGCUGUGGUGUAGGCUGGCAUCUGUAGCUCAGAUUCGACCCCUAGCCUGGAAACGUCCAUAUGCCGUGGGUGCCGCCUUAAAAAGACAAAAAGAAAAAAUAAGUCAAAUUCCUGGGAUUCAAGCCUCAAUGGGUUUAUUAGAAGUCCUCAGUAGAGGGGAAAAAAAAUGGAAUUUACUUCCUGCUAAAAUGGUGUAUUUCUUCCUGGUGUCCUCUCUCUCCCUCCAGCCCAUAUGGAAGCAGUUUCUCUGCCUCCACCACGCUCCUUCCCUUUUGCCUCUUAGCCUUUCCAGAGUUGCCCAGAGCUGGGGGCAGCCGGGAGUCCAGGCCCACUGAGCCAGAGCCAGCCCAGUGUCCAGCAUCUGGGUUGGGGCCAUGGCGGAGCCACCCUGCUGCCAGGGCAGUUGCAGCCCUCACUGCCACCUCCUGCCUCCAGCCCCCUGGCCUUUGCCAGCCAUUCCCGGCAUGUUCCCUCCUGCUGCCUGCAGUGUGGGUGGGAGUGGGGCGAGGAAGUGCCCCGGCCGCUGAGCUAGGGUCCCACCAGGGGCAGAACAGAUGCAGGAUAAGGCCUGAAUGGCGGAGGAGGUAGGAGAGUGAAGCACCGGGUGAGAGGGAAAAGGACGGGCAACGGGCCCCCUGGACCAGGGAGGAAAAGUCCAGAUGUGUCGCUCAGCUUGUCGCAGAGAGACUAGAACAGUCCAUUUCUCCCCAGCCAAGCAGCCAGAUUUUUGGAAGCCACAAUCAGUGGGUGGGGUGGUCAGUUUCUCCCAGUUCAGCAGAAAUGUGGCUUUUUGUUCAGGGUGGAGCUUUGGGAUUGAGAGCGGACUUCUUGCCCUCCAUGGUGCCCCUCUGGGCCUUGGACGCUCUGAUGAUUGUACUAGCAACAGUAACUGCUCUAAUAAUGCAAGUGCACCCAGAAAGCUACCAAGCGCCAGGUACCGUGCUGAGUGCUAUGCGGAGAUCUUGGUGCCCACAACAGCCCUGUGGCCCAGACACUCUCACGUCCUCAUUCAUCGAUGAGGACAUAGGGACGGGCUUCAGAGGAAGCUGGACAGUAGUCAGGUAGCCAAGGGUGUGUGGCUGGCCAAGAGAGUGGUGGAGGUGAGCAGGGGAUCACACGCCAAGGAUCCCAACUAUCUCGCUCAGACUGGCAGGACCUGGGGCUUGGCUACUGACCUUUGUCACAGAGCAGGAAGCGUCUGAGUGAUUCAGAGAUGGCAUUGAUCCCAGAAGGCUGGCCAGAGUGGACUGGGAUGAGGGGGGAUGGACCUCCAAACUGUCUGCCUGAGGAAGGGUGAACUUGGGCCUACACGAACUUGGGCUGGGGGGAACUGGCAGUAAGAAAGAUGCUUGGUGGGGUUCCUUUUGUGGCUCAGUGGGAUAAGAACCCGACGUGGUGUCUGUGAGGAUGCAGGUUCAAUCCCUGGCCUCUCUCACCGGGUUAAGGAUCCAGUGUUGCCACAAGCUAUAGCGUAGGUCUUGAUGCAGCUCGGAUCCUGUGUUGCUAUGGCUGUGGCUUAGGCCGGCACCUGCAGCUCCAAUUCAACCCCCAGCCCAGGAACUUCCACAUGCCGCAGAUGCAGCCCUAAAAACAAACAAAAA
ensembl:lncRNA